rnacentral:lncRNA from 1 species
AGCGAUUGAGCGACUUCACUUUCACUUUUCCCUUUCAUGCACUGGGGAAGGAAAUGGCAACCCACUCCAGUGUUCUUGCCUGGAGAAUCCCAGGGACGGGGGAGCCUGGUGGGCUGCCGUCUCUGGGGUCGCACAGAGUCAGACACGACUGAAGCGACUUAGCAGCAGCAGCACUCUUAAUGCUUUCUAAUAUGGUACAGGUUGAAAUACUCAAUGAUUACUUAGGCCUGUUAAACGACACUUCCUUGAAUGAAGUGGACUAAUACUUUCCCAGAUUAACUUCCGAUUCCAGAAUGUUACUUUUACAUUAAUGGAUGUCUUCAACUCUUGUCCUUUCCAGAACUCUGAUUUCUGCCCAUAUGUUAACACUAACCCAAUUUUGCUGCCAGGCUAUUCAGGUUUUCUUAGGUCAAAAAUCUAAAAUUUCUUUUAAGCUUUAAAAAAAGACUGUUUUUCCCCCAAGGCAACAAAACCUCAGUAUCAUCAUUUAAAAAAUAUAUGAAAUGAAAAUAACAUAUGGAAAGAGCCUGAUGCAGAACUAAAGGAAGCCUGCAGGAAGCGGUGAUCCCUCUGCUGGCCACCUAAACUUGGCCAAGUCUGCACUUGUUCACCAAUAUCACCUUGGGGAACAGCACUACCCAGGUUCAUGGGUUUCUUCCUCAAUGGAGGUCAGCCAGGGAGUUACAGGGCUGCUACUUAAUCGUUCCCUUUCCUUAACCUUCUUUUCCUCUUGAGGGCAGAGUCUGGGGACUCUCAGUAAACCCCUUGACAGGAAAGCUGGCAGGUGGGUAGCACCCCAUGCUGGCCCCUCCGCUUUAUAGGCCUGUUGCCUCUGAAGAAAACCUCACACAGGCCACGACUUGUGUUUUUCCCGCUUCACCGCAGUGGAAGGAAGAGAACGCCACUGGGAGACAAUCCGCGGUACCAAAGAAACCUCCCUCUUUUCUGAUAUGGCUCUCUCCCAGUCCACAGCCUGAAGCUCCAAGGCGCCCUCCCCCAACCCACGAGACAUCAAAGAUGGCGCCAGGCCCGCGCGGCUGGAGGUCACCGGCAGGCGGAAGGGGCAGCCCUAACGCGCGGGGAUACGGGGGCAAGGGAGGACGUGAGGACCCAGGUGGGAGCACGCGAGCUAGAAUGCCCUUUCGCGGCUUCUCAGCCGUUCCAGAUUCCACUCUGUAUUUCAGGCUCACUCCCUCCACGCCAUCUCCGGGACCUCAUUUCUGCCUAGCAACAUCACAACCAAUCAAGAUGCAACUAGGCCUGGCAGUUCGGCUCAUCCUUCACUGGGAUUGGCUGCUGGCGGUGAGCGCAUCCUAAGUUUUCAUUGGCUGACGGCCACCUGUAUGGAAAUGAGAAUGACAGGGGACUCUCAGCGCCUUCUCUGCUACGUGGACCUGUGGCUUACUGCACUGAAACCUGCAAGCUCAGAGCCAGAACUCCUGGGCUUUUUUCUGCCUUCUCUCCU